rfam:Branchiostoma floridae genomic scaffold BRAFLscaffold_98, whole genome shotgun sequence.
UGUUGCAGAUAAUGUGGAAAACUUUAUACACCUGAUCCCUUGAUCUCGGAUGUUAAGCAACGUGCAGUUCGGUCAGUUCUUGGAUGGGAGACCACCAAGGAUGAACAGAUGCUGCAGCCU